rnacentral:tRNA from 1 species
UAUAUUUUGGUGUAAGAUGCACUGUAGUUUUUGAUACUGUAAGAUAUAGUUUGAUUCUAUAAAAUAUAA